rnacentral:sRNA from 1 species
UAAAUCAUGGUGCAUCUCAUAAGGUGUG